AAAAGAGUCGAGCGAAUGGAUUGAGAGCUUGCUCUCAUGAAGUUAGCGGCGGACGGGUGAGUAACACGUGGGUAACCUGCCCAUAAGACUGGGAUAACUCCGGGAAACCGGGGCUAAUACCGGAUAACAUUUUGAACUGCAUGGUUCGAAAUUGAAAGGCGGCUUCGGCUGUCACUUAUGGAUGGACCCGCGUCGCAUUAGCUAGUUGGUGAGGUAACGGCUCACCAAGGCAACGAUGCGUAGCCGACCUGAGAGGGUGAUCGGCCACACUGGGACUGAGACACGGCCCAGACUCCUACGGGAGGCAGCAGUAGGGAAUCUUCCGCAAUGGACGAAAGUCUGACGGAGCAACGCCGCGUGAGUGAUGAAGGCUUUCGGGUCGUAAAACUCUGUUGUUAGGGAAGAACAAGUGCUAGUUGAAUAAGCUGGCACCUUGACGGGACCUAACCAGAAAGCCACGGCUAACUACGUGCCAGCAGCCGCGGUAAUACGUAGGUGGCAAGCGUUAUCCGCAAAUAUUGCGCCUCAAGUCCGCGCCCGCCUUUUCUUUUUUUUGAUGUUA
rnacentral:rRNA from 1 species